rnacentral:rRNA from 1 species
GACGAAGGUGGCGAGCGUUAUUCGGAUUUACUGGGCAUAAAGCGCGCGUAGGCGGCUCUGUAAGUCGGAGGUGAAAGCCCGCAGCUCAACUGCGGAAUAGCCCCCGAUACUGCAGAGCUUGAGUGCAGGAGGGGUGACCGGAACUCCAGGUGGAGCGGUGAAAUGCGUAGAUAUCUGGAGGAACACCAGAGGCGAAGGCGGGUCACUGGACUGCAACUGACGCUGAGGUGCGAAAGCUAGGGGAGCGAACAGG